GAGACGCAGCCCUUGCUGUUUUGUCGGAGGCGCGGUGCAUCCUCCCCUGAUGGGGUCCGGGCCUGACCGUCCUGGCCCUGCCCACGCGCCCCCCCCAUCUCCUGUCCUCCUCUGCUGGAAACGAACCUCCAGCCAAGAGGGAAACAGCUCAACACACCCUAUCAGCUUUAUUUAUUCGGGAGGAAAGCGCCUCCUUUGCGUUUGCCGCCGGAGAGAAAGCUGCGCCUGGAGGUGAACAGCGUGGCUUACGGGGAACAGCCUCAGCGAUGGAUGGGGAAAGACGCCCCGACUCCUCGAAGACGUCCUGAUUUCUACCAGAUGUUUCCAGAUGAGCUGCUGAACUGGCUGACUUUUCCUACACGUCUCCAGGAAAGGAGAUCCUUCCAGCCUGAGCCCGCCACCCGGACCUCAACCGCGUUGGCGCAGACCGCGCCCCUGACCUCUGCUGUCCCCCACCCCGGCCGAGAGGGAAGAUCCCCCAUUUAAGACUUAGACCUGCAAAACCCUUUGGGGCCUGAGGCUUCACUUAGAAGAGGCCAUUUCCUGCCUCAGGUCCCCACCCUGCCCCGUGCAGAGUGAGUGCCCCCAAGGCGUGAAGAACCUUCUGGAUGAGCACGGGGCACACGGCGGACACAGUUAGCGCCUUCCAGGUCCGGUUGGUGUUUCUGGGUCACUGCUCCUCCGCCAGCACCUCGCGCCAGCCAAGCCCACAAAUGCCCUCAGUUAACGUGGAUGGAAUGAACAAAUGGACAGAUUCAUUUUAUUCUCAGCAGAAGUAAAGUGAUAAAGGCAACGUCCCCAGCUCACAGGUGUCCAUCAGAAGCAACAAAAAGGACCCGGAUGUACACACUUCUGUCUCUGGAAUGAAGAGUGAUGUCAGAUGUCCACGGGCUCAUUUGAUGGACACGCAUCUCUUACCUUGGCCCUGAGAGACCCAGAGCCCAGCCGCCAGGCUCGCUGGCCACGCGGUUCCUUUGGACCUCGGGAGGGCCGCCCUGACCUCGUGGCACCCAGAAAGCAGGGGGGGAAGAGAGCAAACGUCAGCUGGCAUUUGGUGGCUUUGAUCAAUUGAUUUUAUGAGACAAGACUGUGGGAUGUGGAGGUUGGCUCGCUCUGACUCUCGACUUACUCAUUUCCUGAGACAAGGCGACGGCGCGGCCAGGCAGGCGGCAGGCUCGGUGUGAGCGGCCAGGUGACCGCGUGUCUGCUCCCGUCCUAUCGCGUGUCUGUGCUUUGCUUCUGGAAAUCUCUAAAAAUUUUGAACGUUAUCAUUGUCAUUUCAAAAGGGAGGGGAGGGUCCCUUGGUGGCUCAGCGGUUUAGCACCUGCCUCCGGCCCAGGGCGUGAUCCUGGGGACCUGGGAUCGAGUCCCACGUCGGGUUCCCUGCAUGGAGCCUGCUUCUC